GCGGGUAUAGCACAGUGGUAGUGCACCAGUUUUCCAAACUGGCUACGCGGGUUCGAUUCCCGCUACCCGCU
rnacentral:tRNA from 7 species